rnacentral:misc_RNA from 1 species
GAUGAAGAACGCAGCGAAAUGCGAUAAGUAAUGUGAAUUGCAGAAUUCAGUGAAUCAUCGAAUCUUUGAACGCAUCUUGCGCUCCUUGGUAUUCUGAGGAGCAUGCCUGUUUGAGUGUCAUUAAAUUCUCAACCGCACUGACUUUGAAUUGGUGUGGCUUGGAUUUGGGGGGAAAAUUGUUGUGGGCUUUUUUGUAUAGUCUGCUCCCCUGAAAUUGAUUAGCGGUACCUUUGUGGAACUGUCUACAGGUGUGAUAAUUAUCUACAUCCUAGACAUCUGCUGGAAUGCUGCUUUCUAAACCUUACUUGUAUUGACAAUCUUGACCUCAAAUCAGGUAGGACUACCCGCUGAACUUAAGCAUAUCAAUAAGCGGAGG